GGGUGCUUGAGGCUUUCCGUCUUGAGCAGUCGUGACGGGCAGAAAGACGAAAGCCCCGAGUUAUUUUUUAACCCGAGGCCGUCAAUAUGUCCAAACAACGUAAGGAUAGCCUCUUAACUGCAGAAAUGCAAUCGGAGGUCAGAAUG
rnacentral:antisense_RNA from 1 species